GAUGAACGCUAGCGGCAGGCUUAACACAUGCAAGUCGAGGGGCAGCAUAAUGGAUAGCAAUAUCUAUGGUGGCGACCGGCGCACGGGUGAGUAACGCGUAUCCAACCUGCCCAUCACUUGGGGAUAACCUUGCGAAAGUAAGACUAAUACCCAAUGACGUCUCUAGAAGACAUCUGAAGGAGAUUAAAGAUUUAUCGGUGAUGGAUGGGGAUGCGUCUGAUUAGCUUGUUGGCGGGGUAACGGCCCACCAAGGCGACGAUCAGUAGGGGUUCUGAGAGGAAGGUCCCCCACAUUGGAACUGAGACACGGUCCAAACUCCUACGGGAGGCAGCAGUGAGGAAUAUUGGUCAAUGGACGAGAGUCUGAACCAGCCAAGUAGCGUGCAGGAUGAAGGCUCUAUGGGUCGUAAACUUCUUUUAUAUGGGAAUAAAGUUUUCCACGUGUGGAAUUUUGUAUGUACCAUAUGAAUAAGGAUCGGCUAAC
rnacentral:rRNA from 1 species